rnacentral:rRNA from 1 species
UACGUAGGGGGCAAGCGUUGUCCGGAAUCAUUGGGCGUAAAGCGCGUGUAGGCGGCCCGAUAAGUCCGCUGUGAAAGUCCAGGGCUCAACCCUGGGAUGCCGGUCGAUACUGCCGGACUAGAGUUCGGAAGAGGCGAGUGGAAUUCCCGGUGUAGCGGUGAAAUGCGCAGAUAUCGGGAGGAACACCAAUGGCGAAGGCAGCUCGCUGGGACGUUACUGACGCUGAGACGCGAAAGCGUGGGGAGCAAACAGG